GUAUGUGGCCGCGGAGAGUUACAAGUUUGCUCGACUGUACCCAUUGGAUCAAAAAGACAUGGCCCCUGCUCUGCGUCCAAUAGAUUUUGGGGUUCCAAUCCCAUCCAAGGUUGAAGUUGAAAAAUCUGCUCGAGACUAUACUCCUCCUCAAUACCUUACUCUUCUCUUUACAGAUUUGGGUGUUCUCUCUCCAUCUGUGGUGAGUGACGAACUCAUCCAACUAUAUUUAUAGUCAAACUCAAAAGUGUAGUGUUUGAUAUUUUG
rnacentral:misc_RNA from 1 species